rnacentral:rRNA from 1 species
UACGAAGGGGGGCUAGCGUUGUUCGGAAUUACUGGGCGUAAAGCGCGCGCAGGCGGUCUUCCAAGUCAGUGGUGAAAGCCCGGAGCUCAACUCCGGAACUGCCAUUGAAACUGUAAGACUUGAGGAUGAGAGAGGUGAGUGGAAUUCCCAGUGUAGAGGUGAAAUUCGUAGAUAUUCGGAAGAACACCAGUGGCGAAGGCGGCUCACUGGACCGGCAUUGACGCUGAGGUGCGAAAGCGUGGGGAGCAAACAGG